rnacentral:rRNA from 1 species
AUGACCCAUUGGCCUCGAAUUUUUGGGUUGGAACACACUCCACGAGAUGCCGACCUCAUCAGCGCCCUCCCCGACGACAUCCUCCUCCUGGUGCUGGUGCGCCUACGCUGCGUCCUCGCCGCCGCGCGCACCAGCCUCCUCGCGCGCCGGUGGCGCGGCCUCUGGACCCGCCUCCCGGAUCUCGCCUUCCACCGCGUCGCGCCCGCCACGGUCGAGUCGGCGCUCGCCCGCUUCGCUGCUCCCCCCGCGGUGUCCCUCAUCGCCAUCCGUCUCCGGUUUGGACACACCGCCGCCCAAGCCAACUCGUUGCUGCGCGCCGCCGCUGCAGUCUCGCCGGCGGAGCUAGUCUACAACUACCCGGGGUCUCGCCAGGACCGUUACAGCCACAUUGAGCUGCCUUGCUUCCACCGCACCACCUUGAUCGAGCUGGAGACCUUGAUCGGCGUCAAGCCGCCGACGGCCGGCGAGUUCGCCGUGCUCGAGAGGCUGUCCCUCAACGCCAACAUCGUCGACCUUGGCGCCUUGCUCAAUCGCUGCCCGCGCCUGCGCGUGCUUAGCGCAACCUUCUGGACCACUGAGCUCCUCACGCUGCAGUCGGUCCGCGAGCUCCCCGCCCUCGAGAGGCUGACCCUUAACGGCAACAUUGCCGACCUUGGCACCUUCCUCAACCGCUGCCCGCGACUGCGCUUGAUCAGCAUCACACUCCGCAGCGUCACCCCUGACUCGCUCGAAGCGGCGCUAGCCACAAUCGCCACGGUGGCGGCGCACGACAGUGCGGUGUCCCUCCUCGGCAUCAGCAUCCCCAGUGCAUACAGCGAUGACACCGUCCUUCUCCGUGCCGCGGCGAGGCUGUCACCGCAAGAGUUCGCCUUCAUGCGCCUGCUUGAUGCACAAGGCACGCAAUACACCAGUGCCGACCUGCCGUGCUUCCCCCGCACCACCUCCAUCAAGAUUGCCGUGCAUAACAUCUGCUUCACACGGCUGCUGGACGGCGAGUCUCCGAGCUCGAGAGGCUGUCCCUCAAAGGAUGCAUCAUCAACGACCUAG